GACGAACGCUGGCGGCGUGCCUAAUACAUGCAAGUAGAACGCUGAAGAGAGGAGCUUGCUCUUCUUGGAUGAGUUGCGAACGGGUGAGUAACGCGUAGGUAACCUGCCUGGUAGCGGGGGAUAACUAUUGGAAACGAUAGCUAAUACCGCAUAAAAUGGAUUAUCGCAUGAUAAUCCAUUGAAAGGUGCAAAUGCAUCACUACCAGAUGGACCUGCGUUGUAUUAGCUAGUUGGUGGGGUAACGGCUCACCAAGGCGACGAUAUAUAGCCGACCUGAGAGGGUGAUCGGCCACACUGGGACUGAGACACGGCCCAGACUCCUACGGGAGGCAGCAGUAGGGAAUCUUCGGCAAUGGACGGAAGUCUGACCGAGCAACGCCGCGUGAGUGAAGAAGGUUUUCGGAUCGUAAAGCUCUGUUGUAAGAGAAGAACGAGUGUGAGAGUGGAAAGUUCACACUGUGACGGUAUCUUACCAGAAAGGGACGGCUAACUACGU
rnacentral:rRNA from 1 species